rnacentral:rRNA from 1 species
GGGCCCGCACAAGCGGUGGAUUAUGUGGAUUAAUUCGAUGCAACGCGAAAAACCUUACCUGGCCUUGACAUGUACCGAAUUUAGCAGAGAUGCUUUAGUGCUCGAAAGAGAACGGUAACACAGGUGCUGCAUGGCUGUCGUCAGCUCGUGUCGUGAGAUGUUGGUUAAGUCCCGCAACGAGCGCAACCCUUGCCAUUAAUUGCCAUCAUUUAGUUGGGCACUUUAAUGGGACUGCCGGUGACAAACCGGAGGAAGGUGGGAUGACGUCAAGUCCUCAUGGCCCUUAUGGCCAGGGCUUCACACGUAAUACAAUGCUACGGACAAAGGGCUGCAAGUUCGCGAGGACAAG